CCUACGGGAGGCAGCAGUGAGGAAUAUUGGUCAAUGGGCGCAAGCCUGAACCAGCCAUGCCGCGUGGAGGAUGACAGCCCUAUGGGUUGUAAACUUCUUUUGUACGGGAAGAAACAUUUCUACGUGUAGAAACUUGACGGUACCGUACGAAUAAGCAUCGGCUAACUCCGUGCCAGCAGCCGCGGUAAU
rnacentral:rRNA from 1 species